GAAAUGCGAUAAGUAGUGUGAAUUGCAGAAUUCAGUGAAUCAUCGAAUCUUUGAACGCACAUUGCGCCCCUUGGUAUUCCAUGGGGCAUGCCUGUUCGAGCGUCAUUUGUACCCUCAAGCUCUGCUUGGUGUUGGGUGUUUGUCCCCGUCUCCGCGCGUGGACUCGCCCCAAAGUGAUUGGCAGCCGGCGUACUGGUCCCGGAGCGCAGCACAUGUCGCGCAAACGAGUGCCUUGGUACGGCGGCGUCCAUAAGCCCCUCUCUCACGCUCUUGACCUCGGAUCAGGUAGGGAUACGCGCUGAACUUAAGC
rnacentral:misc_RNA from 1 species